CCGGAUGGAGGAAGAAAGGAGGCUACGGGAGGAAGCCAUGAGAAGGCAAGAGGAGAGGAUAGCGGCACAGAAUCAAUUCUUCGAGGAGAGGAUGGCGGCACAGAAUCAACUCUUCGAGGAGAGGAUGGAGGCACAGAGUCAAUUCUUCAAGGAGCAAAGGGCGGCACAGCGUCAAGACAUCGAGGAGAGCAGGGCGGCACAUAAUCAAUUAUUGGAGGAGAGGAUGAGUCAAGCCAUCAAGGAGAGCAGGGCGGCACAGAAUCAAUUCUUUGAGGAGAGGAUGGCGGCACUGAGUCUAGCCUUCAAGGAGAUGCUGGCGGCACAGAGUCAAGCCAUCGAGGAGAGGAUUAGUCAAGGCAUCAAGGAGAGGUUGGAGGCAGAACGAGCUCUCUACCAGGAGCAAUUCCAGG
rnacentral:lncRNA from 1 species